UUACAGUACUGCCAUUCGCCCAAUAAACAACCCCAAAGCUUGGUAAAGAGGAGGGCAUUGGGUUUCAUAGAGAGGGUGAAAAUCUGCUAUUCAUUGCUUGGAUCCUUUGCAGUGUCGAUGGAAGUGAAAUACCCAGUUCGGUUUUGGUUCUCAGUUUGUCUCUUUCCUUUUCUUUGUUUAGGUGCUCAGAAGCAACCAAAUAGGAACGAACCCACGAGAUUUCAGAGUCUAGAACCAAUGCAAUUUAGAUGGAGGACAAGUCAAAUCUGGGGAAAGAUCAACAGAGUGGUUCUGCUGCUAAAGAGGAACCUACUGGCCCCAAGGAGAAUCAGCCACCUCAAACAGAAACCCAUGAGGACAGUAAAAGUUGUGAGGGACACAUUUUAGGAUCACCAUGGCUGUUGAUGAGCUAAAGGUUGGUGAUGUUAAAGCUAAUGAUCCUCUGCUUAUUGAGGUGCGCUAAGGAAACAAGGGCAAUGGCAGUAAUGCAAGAGUCGGAAACAAACUCAAAACCAUAGAUAAACAUGUGGGGGAGUCAAAGGGUUGGUUGUCUGAUUCCGAGGGUGAGGAAUCGGAGGAUGAGAAUUUAUGAGGGAGCUGGAUUGUUUCUACAAGGAGAGGUCCUUGGAAUUUAAGGCCCCUAAGUUGUGUGGAGAACCACCGAAGAGAAUUGCCUCAAGUAAGUUUCUGUUGAUGAGUACUGUUUUUACUGUUGGAAUUAUGUGUGUCUGAGCUGAGAACUGGACUAAAUUUGUGCACUUUUUCUUUAGCGACACAAGUUAUGAAGAGCUGUCAUUAGAUCUGGUUGUUACAAUGUGUUAUGUAUUCUCCUAAUUACAUUUGGAGAGAAUUUAUUUUGGUACAUGAUAAAAUGAAUCUUACCCCUGUUCUUGGCCAUAGUGAGCCUAUGUAUGGCAUUGCAGCUUGCAGCAAGUAUCUCAGAAACCCAACCAAAGCAGGCACCUUUUCUCAUCAGCAACAAGCUACUGUAACUCACAUCACCGGAACCCAUGGCGGUACACUACCGAGUCCUUUCUUUUGAUUUCAGUUUAUUCAUUUUCGAUGAGCGUGUUUGUUUGAUUUGAGUGUGUGUGGAUCAUUCCGUUUCUGGUGUUCUGAUUGCUGAUUGUUUGAAAUGUCUAUAUUGUCCUUCCCUCCUAUGCUUGCUUUCAGUUCUCAGCUAAAGUUUCAUGCUUGGAUUUGUACUCCUACCUGAUUAUUUCAGUAUCAAAUUUAUUGUUAUAUACUGACAUGUCAUAUGAGUAUCAGUGUGUCAGGUUUUCUGUAUAUCUGUGUAUCUGAAAAAAGAAAAAGAACAAAAAUUAUUGAAGCUUCCAUUGGUACAACUUAUUGAAAGUUUGCAUACUUCACUAUUGUUCACCAAACUAUGAAUAAUUGCUAAGUUAUGUUUGCCGUUUAAUUUAGUUGUCUUCUGACAUAAUGCAUUUCGUUGAUGGCAAAUGUCGUAUGGUACAUGUAAAUGAAUUCAUUAUUUUUGCUCCGGAUUUGAUCUAGUCAGUUAAGAGUUGUAUUGGUGACAGUAGGAAUGCAAUGUGGUCAUUCUUUUUCAAAGAAGAUUUUGUAAAAAGAAGAUUUUGCGAAAAGAUUGAAGGCCCCUAACUUUGCAAAAUGUUUGGCCGAUUCUGGAAUCUGCUUUGCAA